rnacentral:lncRNA from 1 species
ACCAUAAUUACUGAAUUUUGUUUGAAACCAUGUGCUACUGAAAUAAUUGACCUAGAGAACUGUUUGUUGAUGUGUCUGCUGCUAAACAGUUUAACGACAUCGGCCCACAUGGAACAAAAAUCAUUGUGUUCAACCUGUUAGGCAGCACUGAAGGCCACUUGGAUCUCGACUUCAACACUGACACAAAGGUAACAAAUACAUACUGAUUAGAUAGAGUAUCAAUACUAGCUUACUGGCAUAUCAUUUGUAUUUUGAUGUUAUGACAUCCAAGAAAGGAUUCUACUACUGUGACAUGUCUACUGUUAUCAUGGAGUUUAUAUCAUGAAUUACAAUUUCUUUUUUUUUCCACAUGGAUGCCCAUUCUGUUCAUAAAUUCUUACCUGUACACACUCCUCGUUAUCGAAUAGUUCAUCAAUUCCUCCUUGCUUAUUGCAGGAUAUUAGAAUUAGUGUACCACAAACAAUGCAUCAAGAAAACGAAGCUGCAGGGGAUCAAAGUAAUUUGGUAUAUCAAUACAGGAGAUCUCUCAGGGCAAGUGUUACAUACACUUCUUUAACUUACAAGAAUUAUUUUCCUCAAAUCGUUUGUUUAUAUGUUGUUAAAUGCCAUUCUCUGCAGGCCUAUGCUUCCAUCUUGUAUCGGGGCCUACCAAAGCACUUUAGAAUCAUUCUUCGGGGACAAGAGGUUAAGCGUCGUAACCUUGUGACUGAGCUCAAGCAGAGUCAAUGCAUUAAAUUCAGGCGCAGCAUGGCAGAAAGGGACGAUGAAGUGGUAUGCCACAUUUUCUUCAAAUUGAUUUCCUCAAAUGUCUAACCAUGUACAUAGCACUAAAAGUAUACGAACCUAUGUCAAGCGAUGUCUUUGUCCAUUUAGCAUCGGUGCUUAUAUUUCUAGCAAUUCCUGGCUUCUAAACUCUCAUUUCAUCGUUGUCUAUUUCACUGAACUCAGGUGCUAGGAUUCUUAGAUGGAGUAGCAGAUGCAGAUCGAUUCUGUUUCUACUAUAAACAGCGCCUUAUCCUGGUGAGUUUUAAAUUUCUUCUUUUGCUUUUUAAAAGCCAAAACAAUCAGAAAAUCUAUGCAAAAAAUUGGUUCUAUGGCAUGAUCCUAUUAUUGAUACCGCUUCAAUUCCAAAAUAUUCCAGCCCUUCAUUCCCCCCAAUAGAUUCUCAAACAAAGACGGGAGCAUUGUGGGAGUUCUGCAGACCAAUUACCUGAAGCCGGCAAGGAACAAGCAGGAUUUUCAGUGGUCGCCGGAGCUUAAAGCGCUGCUGAAGAUCCUAAAAAAUAUGACAACAGAAUUCUGGUAGCUAUACUUAUUACUCCCAAAUAAUCAAUUUCCAUAUGCUCCGGCCUGACAUUUAGUAGAACGAGCAUGGCAUUCUGAACGCUAGCAUAUCAGAGUACAUGAGAAGAAAACUGACGUUUCACUGUUUCCAGGAAAAACCUGAAAGGAAAGGAGCUUAAAGAUGCUGCAUCCUGGCUAAGCUUGGCGCCUCCAGUCUCUCAUGAUGAACCAAAUUUGAAGGGGAGCAACAUCACUUGGAUGCACUCACAGAUCACCCCAUCUGUCCCGGCUCAUAGUGUGGGGCUGAUUUUUGAGCCAAGCUUUAGCGGUAUGCUAGUUCCAAGAGCUCCAACACCAUGCCUUCCACUAUUCCCCAUUGCAUCAACCAGAGACAAACAACAGAUGUUGAUGGCCAUUGCAAACUCUUCAGAUCAAGGCACAAGCUCCAAUGGCAUUCCUGCUCGUCCUACGACGUUGCCAUUUGGGUGGAACAGCGGUGGUCUGUCCUCACAUGGCAUCCAGAGAGCUCCUGCCCCUCAACCUCUCACAUCUGCCAUGGCAUCGCUGGCUGGAGACAGCCGACCAAUAAUACCAGUCAUGGCAAGCACCAAUAACUAUGGCCUGAACUUCAAGGGAAGCUCCACAUCUAUUGCACCUCGGGCUUUCCGAGCGUCAGCCUUUACCCAGCCUAAAAGAGGUGGGAUGGGGCCGAAUGGCAUCAUGAGAGCUCCAGCACCUCACCUAGCUGCAUGUUAUAUGCCAGCAACAGCUGGAGAGAGAUACCAGUCAACACUGGCAACGCAGGACGCCAUGGUGAAUACCAUAGGUGGCUUGGCAUCCUCACAUUCAGGCCCAGCCAGGGAUAUGGUUGCUCUCCAUGAUCUGCCCAUCAAAAUGGAGCCAGCAGAUGACAAUCCGCUGACUUAUGGUAAUAAUGCAAUUCCUCUGGCCAUUGGCGUGAUGGACACCGCUGCCACAGCCUCUUCUGCCACAUCCAUUCGUGAUCCUGACGUGAUGGGCAUCAGAGACUGCAAAGCAUCUGCAUUCUACCCAUGGUGUCCUCCUGGUUUCAAGCCGGACAAUGGCUCGCCAAGCUCUUCAAGACAGGUUUGUUAUAGAAUUGCACUGGUCAACAUUCAUGAAAGGGCUUUCGAUCCGAUGAACCUAGCUUGUUUUUCUUGUUCAGUCUUCUCCAUUUCUCCUGAUAACAAUCGCUUCAAAUAUGUUGUGCUGACUGCCUUCCAUCUGCUGAAAACUGAACAGGCACAGGAGUUACAGGAUGGAAGCAACCAAGAGGAACAAGAAGCCAAGCCACUGCUGAAUCUGUUCAAGCCAUAGGUUUCAUUCAAAUAGAGAGAGAACAUGCUCCAAUCCAUUCAUCGACGUCUGCUUUCUAGCCAGCUGCUGCGGUUCAUGGUGCUAGUUUCAGAUAGGAUUCCUAGGCAGCGGACCGAUACCAUUUUACUCUUACCAUUCUGUUAUUUUUAAAUAUGUACUGGCACUACUUGGUACCAACAUUAUAUUUCUGUAUCAGUGAGAAGUGACAUUCAUUUGAUUUUACUAAGCUGGCAUUUAUGAGGCUUAAAAUUGGCUGCGUGACAAUGUGCAGCUAAGGCCUAAGGUGCUGUUUGGUUGAGAGCUGCAAAAGGCAAAGUGAAUGGAACUGGAAUUCAGCUCUAUGGGUUACAGAUAGGGAACUGGGAUGCAACGUGAAAGUGGGGUGUCACUCCCUUAUUAGUUCAUUUUCAUACCAAUUUUCUUCUUUUCAAAUCCAAAUUAAUUUAUUUUGAUUGGUUUCAGACCGAACUAAUGAUCUAAGGAAAAGAAAACUUAUGCAUCCCUAGUUACAGUACUGGGAGUGCCCGGAGUGGAAAGACGAACAAAAGCUACCUGCAGUGGAAAGACGAACAAUACCCCUCCUCCCGGGCUCCGAUUCUCCGGAGGCUAGCUGAAGUGGAUCUUCUGGUUCCCAGGCGUGUCUGGCAGAGAUUGCCGUCAGCACAAAUCCCUGGAGGAAAGCUAUGGCUAGGGCUUGGAAAAAAAAAAAUUGGGUGGAAGGGAAGGGUGUAGAGGGAGGGAGACACAAGCGGGUAGGCGGGUGGCUCUCACCGGCGCUGAUGCCGCGGAAGCAGCAAGUCGCUCACCGUCGGCAAAGCUCGUGCACUGACGGAGAUCGCUGCCGUGCGAUGCGAGGUCGCGAACAGACGAGGCUGACGACCUGUGAGUCGUGCCAAACGGGUCCCGAGGGCCAGGGA